rnacentral:rRNA from 1 species
GACGAACGCUGGCGGCGUGCUUAACACAUGCAAGUCGAACGGAAAGGCUCCAGCUUGCUGGAGUACUCGAGUGGCGAACGGGUGAGUAACACGUGGGUAAUCUGCCCUGCACUCUGGGAUAAGCCUGGGAAACUGGGUCUAAUACUGGAUAUGACCUUUCUCCUUAUGGGGUUUGGUGGAAAGUUUUUCGGUGUAGGAUGAGCCCGCGGCCUAUCAGCUUGUUGGUGGGGUGAUGGCCUACCAAGGCGACGACGGGUAGCCGGCCUGAGAGGGUGAUCGGCCACAUUGGGACUGAGAUACGGCCCAGACUCCUACGGGAGGCAGCAGUGGGGAAUAUUGCACAUUGGGCGGAAGCCUGAUGCAGCGACGCCGCGUGAGGGAUGACGGCCUUCGGGUUGUAAACCUCUUUCAGCAGGGACGAAGCGUAAGUGACGGUACCUGCAGAAGAAGCACCGGCUAACUAUGUG